rnacentral:rRNA from 1 species
GACAGAGGCCCCAAGCGUUAGGCGGAAUCACUGGGCUUAGAGCGUGUGUAGGCGGAUCGUUAAGUGUCUUGUGAAAUCCCACGGCUCACCCGUGGAACGGCUGGGCAUACUGGCGAUCUUGGGCCAACUAGGGGCAGUCGGAACAAGCGGUGGAGCGGUGAAAUGCGUAGAUAUCGCUUGGAACGCCGAAGGUGAAAACAGACUGCUGGGGUUGCGCCGACGCUGAGACACGAAAGCCAGGGGAGCAAACGGG